UAAAAUCAGUUUAAAAUCAGUACUUGUUCAAAAUUUUCACUAUUGCCAAACUUUUAAGGAUAAGAAAAAUCAUUUUUUUGUUCUUUAUUUUAAUUGUUCCAAGUUGGGUUGUUUUUUGAACUCUCCCAUAGAACAUUAAUGUAGCAUUUUUUCCCAUGUUGAAGAGGGUGGUCAUUAUAUUAAAUAAAAAUAGAACAAUGUUAAGAAAAUUUAAGUCUAAUUAUCUAGAGAGCAGAAUACAAAUUCAGCCAACGGUAAAAUCCACAUCCUCACAUCCCCUAUAUCAAGAGUUCUAACUUGCGUCUUUUCCAGGUGCCAAAAUCCUCCCUCCAAGUUCCAUAAAAGACCCAGUUCCCACCUCUCGGUUCAGCUUCCAACCUUUCCACCACUUUGUAAAACAAAGUUCUGAAUAAAUACCCCUCCCAACUGCUGAAACCCAGCUGCUUCAUUCCUGAUGAGGGAAUCAGCCAAAGACACAACACCUGGGAGUCCAAUCCAAGAGAGUAAACAGUUCGGAGACAGAAUUACUCUACUGGGAAAUGUAUAGUUUUUUUAGAACUGGAGCAGGCAACAAGACAGCAUCACAGCACAUGGAGUUCCCAACACCAAUUAACAGUGUGCCUUUAAGGAAGAUACAGGGAUAUGGAACAGAAGGACAGGAGUGACUUCAGUUUCCCAGUUGUCAGCCAGCCUAGGACAAGGACUUUCUGUUCCUCCUGUAGAAGGAGAGCUCACCAACUGGAAAUAGUUCUGGAGCCGAGACUGUCCCCAUAGCAACUACUUCCAUAGUCCAGCACACCAUCUAAAUUAUGCCCUCACAAACCAUAUUAUGCAAAAAUAUUGAGGCCGGUUGCAAGUGAACUCUGUAGAAAGUGUCAGCAUUAUUGAUUUCAUUGCUGCACAUUUUAAAGUAUAUAACAAGGCACGUGCUGUAAAUCACAAGAGUUGGGAAUUCAGAGAUUAUUUGCAUUACCUAGUCAAGGAUCAGCAUUAUCUCCUGCAAAUGUAAACAAACUUGUGUGUCUGAGUGACUGGCUGAACAAGGAGGAGGACUGAGUGGACUCAUAGGAUCUAAAGUUUUACAUUGUUUUCUUUUUUAAUGCAAUUAUUUUUUGUAUGUAUGUAAUUCCAUAUUUGUAAGUUCGACUUUCACGAUAAAGAUACUGCAUUACUGUACUUGUAAG